rnacentral:rRNA from 1 species
CGACCGGCGCACGGGUGAGUAACACGUAUCCAACCUGCCGUCUACUCUUGGACAGCCUUCUGAAAGGAAGAUUAAUACAAGAUGGCAUCAUGAGUCCGCAUGUUCACAUGAUUAAAGGUAUUCCGGUAGACGAUGGGGAUGCGUUCCAUUAGAUAGUAGGCGGGGUAACGGCCCACCUAGUCUUCGAUGGGUAGGGGUUCGUGAGAGGAAGGUCCCCCACCAUUGGAACUGAGACACGGUCCAAACUCCUACGGGAGGCAGCAUG